UUCAUUUCACGUUUAAUGGCGGACCGGAAGUGACUUGACGGCGUUUGUUCCGCCGUCUGCUGCAGCAAGUGAGCUAAAUUAACCUUAAAACUUAUUCUUUCUUGCGUUAUUGAGUAUUGCGUAACGUAGUGUUUUGAGUUGAAGCUAUGCUUCUGUUCAGAGUUAUUGAUUCACCUGCUCUUCAGCUGGGAACUCAACAAACUUUGAAAUACCCUCUGCAGCGGCAUUACGAGUACAAAGCAUGGAAAAAGCCUCCAGUUAAAGGAGCACAAGAUAGGCUCCUCUGAUAUUCUAACCUUGGAUAAAUCUGUAAGAAGAGACCAGCAGAGGACAAAGGCACGGCUUAUCAUCUUCAUCAUUGUUCAGAACCGAUUAGCGCUGAGGUCUGAAGCAGAAGAGGCAGAAAGGCUGGAGAAGGAUGGAGUGAUCGGAAACGCAGCAGAGAGCAGAAGCUGUGGGGCUCCACGCGGCCAUGACCACGGGGCAAAUGUGCAACAGAUGCUCGGGGCGUGCGUCACGUUGGAGUGCUGUACAGCCGAUCUGGUUCCAAUUCUCUCACUCUUCAUAUCAAGUGCUUUAAAAGAGGUCUAAACACUAAGGUCAUUUUCUGUGGAUACAAGAGGCAUGCAGCAGUGAUAAAAGCCACCAUAUGUACCUAGCCACUCACUCAGGAGGUAAACCUAGUGGCGACAAUGUGCCGCUGUAAAAUGAAGUUAAACUGUGAAACAGUGAGAAAAAUAAAAGCAUUGAUGCAGACUGUGAGGCUGGGGGAUCAGAGAGUCCAUUGGGUCCUCUGCUGUCAACAGAGCAGGCUUCGCUCCAUCAUAUCAGUGGGAAACAACGGAGCAUCACGCAAGAUCCGCCACACAUAGGUCACACGAGCAGAGCUGGGGAGGAACAAAGAUGCUGCCUGCUGUUCCUGGAUCGGAACAAACUGAACUUGAUGUGAUCAUUUCAGCAGCGGGAGCUCUGGAGCGUGCAGAUUUGAUUCUUCUGUCAAAUUGUUCACAGGCUGCAGCAGGAUUUCAGGAUAGCAAAGUGUACUGGUCGGGAUUAUCUUGACUUAAAUUGUGAUGUAAAACUGAAACAAACUCUUCCUUUUCUAUUUCAUAAAGCUGUCAAAGUGGGGUCAUUUUAUUAGAAAUAUAAACUGCUCAAGGAUAACUGCCUCAUACCAAGAAGGUCCAGAGUUAAAAUCUUUCUGUUAAACUCUUUAGUGGUGGGAGGGGAUGUGAAAUUAAACCUUAAAAACAAGCCUUGUAGAUCUUAAGGGCCUGGCAAGUUUGAAAUGUAGUUCUUAACAAUUCUGCAACAGCAACGAAAGCUACUGAUCCGAAGGUUCUCUAGUUUUAAUGUGAGUGUUGUGGUUUUUAACCAGGUUGUAAGAUGUUAUGUGGGAAAAGAUUAGAGCGUGAAGUGAGCAGAAGUCUUUAGCCGGCCCCCUGCUGUCUGCAUGCAUUCGCUGAGAUUUACACAGUAAUGUGUCCGUACAGCAUCAUAACUGCAGACACUGUAACAGCAGCAGGUUGCCUGCUAAUGGGAUGCAUGUACGAUACAGCGUCAUCAGCAUGAAAUUUCAUGUUGACAUCAGAAUAAAUUUGUUCUCAGGUUAUGAAAUGGAAAAUGAAUAACACUGGUCCAAGUAUAGAGCCUUAUUUAACUCCUGUGCAGAAAUGGUAUCUCACGGUGUGCUUUCAUUGUUUAAACUAAGGAGUAAUAUCUCCAUCUAAGUAGAUUUCUAGAGCUGUUCAAGGUCUGAAUGUGUUUGUAUUUAGUGCAAAUUUAGAUGUCUUUAAAACAAAAAAUAAACAGGAAGCUAAG